rnacentral:rRNA from 1 species
GCUUAGAAGCAGCCAUUCAUUUAAAGAGUGCGUAACAGCUCACUAGUCAAGAGAUUUUGCGUGGAAAAUGUAACGGGGCUAAAGUGUUAAACCGAAGACAUGGACUUCAUAUUUUAUGGAGUGGUAGAGGAGCGUUGAUAUCGCAGUGAAGUCAGAUUGUAAAGUCUGGUGGAGCGUUAUCAAGUGAGAAUGCUGGAAUCAGUAACCUUAAGACAGGUGAGAAUCCUGUCGGUCGUAAGAGCAAGGUUUCCAGGGCUACAGUAAUUGCCCCUGGGUUAGUCGGUCCUAAGCCGAGGCGUAUCAGCGUAGGCGAUGGACAACAGGUUAAUAUUCCUGUACAGGUAGUAGUUGUUAACAGUUCACGGUGAGUGACCGGAGCGGAUCAAUGGUUUAUCCGUCCAAGGCUUCAAGGAAUUGAAGUUGAGUGAAAGAUAUUCUUCGGAAUAUUGAUUCUGGGUACAACGCUGGCUAGAAAAGCUGGUUAACUUAUGCUGCUGCCUACCGUACCGCAAACCAACACCGGUGCUCGGGUCGAGUAGACCAAGACCUACGUGAGAACCUUCGCUAAGGAACUCGGCAAAAAAGCGUCCGUAACUUCGGAAUAAGGACUGCCCUCUCAUUAAGAUGAGGAUUUGCUAGAAACUUGGUGGAAACAUAAGGUUAAUAGUAUUUACCUAAUAAUUUAACCAAAUUUUUCGUCAAGACAGAACACAUCAGGAAAUAUCCUGUGAUAUCUUUUCUAGUAACUCAAUCGUCAUUUUGAUGAGAGGGUCGCAGCUAAAGAGCCCACGGAACUGUUUAACAAAAACAUAGGUCUCUGCUAACGCGAAAGCGGAUGUAUAGGGGCUGACUCCUGCCCGGUGUCGGAAGGUUAAGGGGAGAGCUUUACGGUUCGAACUGAAGCCCCGAUGAACGGCGGCGAUAACUAUGAUCGUCCUAAGGUAGCGAAAUUCCUUGUCUGGUAAGUUCAGACCCGCACGAAUGGAGUAAUCAUGUGGGCACUGUCUCGGCGAAGGCCACGGUGAACGUGCAUUGGCGGUAAAGAUGCCGUCUGAUCAUGCCAGGACGAGAAGACCCCAUGGAGCUUUACUACAACUUUGCAUUGAUUAUUGGGACAUUUUGUGUAGAAUAGGUGGAAGACUUUGAGGCAGAUACGCUAGUAUUUGUGGAGUCGAAAUGUGAAAUACCACCCUGAAUGUUUUAGUAAUCUCACUUUUGACCUUAUCGGCCAAGAGGACCGUGCAUGGCGGGUAGUUUAACUGGGGCGGUUGCCUCCUAAAGAGUAGCGGAGGCGUUCAAAGGUUGGCUAACUUCGGAUGGAAAUCGAAGUGAUAGUGUAUGCGCAUAAGCCAGCUUGACUGUGAGGAGUACAUUCCAAUCAGAGACGAAAGUCGGAGCAAGUGAUCCGCUGUACGUACAUUUGUACAUGAAUGUGGGAUCGACAGCGCAAACGGAUAAAAGUUACCCUGGGGAUAACAGGCUUAUAGCGCCCAAUAGUUCACAUAGACGGCGCUGUUUGGCACCUCGAUGUCGGCUCAUCACAUCCUGGAGGGGGAGCACCUUCCAAGGGUUCGGCUGUUCGCCGAUUAAAGUGGUACGCGAGCUGGGUUCAGAACGUCGUGAGACAGUUCGGUUUAUAUCCGGCAUGAUCGUUAGGAAUUUUGAGGAGAUCUACCCUUAGUACGAGAGGACCGGGGCGGACGAACCUCUAGUGUAUCGGUUGUGACCACCUGUUGCAUUGCCGAGUAGCUAUGUUCGGAAGAGAUAAGCGCUGAAAGCAUAUUAAGCGCGAAGCCCACUCCAAGAUUAGAAUUCCCUAUGAGCUCCCAGAGAGAAGAUCUGGUUGAUAGGUGCAAGAUGGAAGUAUCGUAAGAUAUGGAGUCGAAGCAUACUAAUAGAGCCAUCGCCUUUUUA